rnacentral:rRNA from 1 species
CACGUAGGGUCCGAGCGUUGUCCGGAGUUACUGGGCGUAAAGCGCGCGCAGGCGGCGGUGCUGGCCCGGCGUGAAAGCCCCCGGCUCAACCGGGGAGGGUCGUCGGGGACCGCACCGCUUGAGGGCGGUAGGGGCUGGUGGAAUGCCUGGUGUAGUGGUGAAAUGCGUAGAGAUCAGGCGGAACACCCGUGGCGAAGGCGGCCAGCUGGGCCGUCCCUGACGCUGAGGCGCGAAGGCGUGGGGAGCGAACGGG